GACGAACGCUGGCGGCGUGCUUAACACAUGCAAGUCGAACGGUAAGGCCCUUCGGGGUACACGAGUGGCGAACGGGUGAGUAACACGUGGGUGAUCUGCCCUGCACUUCGGGAUAAGCCUGGGAAACUGUGUCUAAUACCGGAUAGGACUCCUGGCUUCAUGGUUGGGGGUGGAAAGCUUUUGCGGUGUGGGAUGGGCCCGCGGCCUAUCAGCUUGUUGGUGGGGUAAUGGCCUACCAAGGCGACGACGGGUAGCCGGCCUGAGAGGGUGACCGGUCACACUGGGACUGAGAUACGGCCCAGACUCCUACGGGAGGCAGCGGUGGGGAAUAUUGCACAAUGGGCGCAAGCCUGAUGCAGCGACGCCGCGUGAGGGAUGACGGCCUUCGGGUUGUAAACCUCUUUCAGCUAUGACGAAGCGCAAGUGACGGUACCUGCAGAAGAAGCACCGGCCAACUACGUGCCAGCCGCCGCGGUAA
rnacentral:rRNA from 1 species